UGGAACCAAUAAACACUUUAUUUAUAUAAAAUAUGUCAAGUAGCUAUUUUUAAAUUACAAAUCCUUGGUUACUUAUAAAAUAAAUAUAUGGUACCACGAACGAUACAAUGAAUCAAUCAAUUUAUGAAAAUUACAGUCUAAAUUUAUAAAAAAUAACUCUAAUAAUAAAACGAACAUUUUUUUCACUUAAAUUACGUUUUGCAAACUUUUAUGAAAAUAAUAACAAAGUAUUUGAUAUGACUGUUAACGUUGAACAGGCUCGAGGACCAAACACUGAUGAAAAUCAAUAACAUUUUGACUGCUGCGUGUACCAAAAUACAUUUUGGGAGUUGAUUUUAACAUUGUAAUUGCGUCAAAAUAAUUUAGUUGAGGAAAUAAGAAUUUCGAGCAACAAAAAUGGUCGUUGAAGAUAAUUAAUCAAUUAAAAUUGUUCCAAAAAAGAGGUAUGGUAUUUAGCUAAGAGUGUCCUAUGAUAAAACUCCAUAAAAAUGAGAAACAAUUACUUUAAUUGAGGGGAUUAGAUGCUAAGGGGUACAAGUGACAAAAUGGUUUAAUUGAGAAAAACGAAGUCAAAGUUAAAUUUAUAUAGUAAAUUCUACAGCAAAUUAACCACUUAUGGGCUUAUUCUGAAUUAAUUUUAUACCUUUUAUGUAUGUAAUUGUAAAAGCUUUUGUAAAUAUAGUAUUUAUUUUCAUUCAAAAUAUUUGAAAUUUGGAAAAAAAACGUUCGCACUUUUACAUCUCUGCUUAAAAUUUUGCACUUCUUUCUCUUUGCCACUUAGUACCUUACGAAUUUCUUAAAUUCUUAAACUAAAAUAAAAAAAAUUACGUAAAAAUUAAACGUUAUUUAUGAAAAAUUACUUGGUACAUGUUGUGUUAUUAUUUCACUUAUUUUGAAUACUUUUUAAGGGCUUGAUUUGCAGAGAUACUAAACGAUUCACCAAAAAUAAUAUCCAGCACCUUACAGGCAAAGGAAUACAAGUGAAUUUAUACCUGUUACCGCAAACUGGUUUUAAAUAUUUCGUAGGUAGUCAAACUAGAACCUGCGAUAUGUAGCCACCAGUAGUAUAAUUCACCUGUGUCUCUUUGCCACUAAAUUUUUAGUACUAUCUAGUAUUAUUUUGUGCACUUAACUCAGUUUACAAUAUUUUGUCACCUGUACCCCUUAGCAUCUAAUCCUCUCAAUUGUAACAUACCAAUAACAAACUGUUAAAUGCACAAAAAAUCGUCUGUCAUUGGCACUCAAUUCUUUGUUGACUAUAUGUUGUAGUUCAUUUAUACAGAGUUGACCAAAAGUCUGAAAAGGUUUAGUUAUCUCUUAAAGGAUGGUCCGAAUAAUGCAAAAAUCGAGAUAUGUCUAUUCUGCAACAUGGAGAUUAUACAAAUACAAUCCAGACGUACGGAGAUCCAUAAAGAAAGACGUCCCAGAAACGAACCUUAAAAUUACCCAAAAAUUUACAUUCAAGACAAAUUAGAUUGAAUCAUGACAGGAAUACAUGAAACAGACCUAAAACAAGUUAUUAUUACAUCAGGUAAGAACAAUAACUGUGUGUUUAAUCGUCCUCGUCGAAAGAAAACUUUAGAAAAAGUAUGGAGAUCCAUAAAGGAAGACGUCCCAGAAACGGACCUUAAAAAUUACCCAAAAA